GAUAAAUGGAAAGCUGGCAGGCUGAGGAUUUCCUUGAUUCUUAGAUAAAAGAACUAAAAACACGAGGAGAUGAUGUAGAUCACAUCUAAGGAACUGGCUGCAAGCUGGAAUCUGGCCUUCUAUAUCCUUCUGAACUGCACAUGUAGCUUAAGGCUGAGUAUUAAACAGAAUGAUCAAACAGUA